AUCGCUUCUCGGCCUUUUGGCUAAGAUCAAGUGUAUUAAUCUUUCUUAUCAGUUUAAAUAUCUGAAAUAUGUCCUCUAAUCAGGGACAACAAUUAACUGGAUGUUUAACAAUGGAGUUGAAAGGCUUGCUCCGUUCACAUCCACGCAUCGACCAUUAUUGCAGUCAUCGCGGAAGGUGCACCCCAU